UGCGUAGGCGGGGAUUUAAGUCAGCGGUGAAAGUUUGAGGCUCAACCUUAAAAUUGCCGUUGAAACUGGGUUCCUUGAGUGUAGAUGAAGUAGGCGGAAUUUGUGGUGUAGCGGUGAAAUGCAUAGAUAUCACGAAGAACUCCGAUUGCGCAGGCAGCUUACUAAGGUACAACUGACGCUGAAGCACGAAAGCGUGGGUAUCAAACA
rnacentral:rRNA from 1 species